UACGUAGGUGGCGAGCGUUGUCCGGAAUUACUGGGCGUAAAGAGCGCGCAGGCGGCUGGUCAAGUCCGAUGUGAAAUCUCCCGGCUUAACUGGGAAAUUGCAUCGGAAACUGAUCGGCUUGAAGGUGGGAGAGGGUAGCGGAAUUCCUGGUGUAGCGGUGAAAUGCGCAGAUAUCAGGAGGAACACCAAUGGCGAAGGCAGCUCGCUGGGGCGGUACUGACGCUGAGGCGCGAAAGCGUGGGGAGCAAACAGG
rnacentral:rRNA from 1 species